AUUUAUUUAGUAUAAGAGUAUAUUUGACUUCCAAUCAGAAGGACUAAACCAAGUUUAGAAUAAAUA
rnacentral:tRNA from 1 species